rnacentral:rRNA from 1 species
UGGGGAAUAUUGGGCAAUGGGCGAAAGCCUGACCCAGCAACGCCGCGUGAAGGAAGAAGGCCUUCGGGUUGUAAACUUCUUUUAUGAGGGACGAAGGAAGUGACGGUACCUCAUGAAUAAGCCACGGCUAACUACGUGCCAGCAGCCGCGGUAAUACGUAGGUGGCAAGCGUUAUCCGGAUUUACUGGGUGUAAAGGGCGCGUAGGCGGGAAAGCAAGUCAGAUGUGAAAUCCAUGGGCUUAACUCAUGAACUGCAUUUGAAACUGUUUUUCUUGAGUGUCGGAGAGGUAGAUGGAAUUCCUAGUGUAGCGGUGAAAUGCGUAGAUAUUAGGAGGAACACCAGUGGCGAAGGCGAUCUACUGGACGAUAACUGACGCUGAGGCGCGAAAGCGUGGGGAGCAAACAGG